GAUCCUUAUUAAAAGAUUAAAAGAUAAAAUUACCUUAGGGAUAACAGCGUAAUUUUUUUGGAGAGUUCUUAUCGAUAGAAAAGAUUGCGACCUCGAUGUUGGAUUAAAAUAAAUUUAUGGUGUAGAAGCUAUAAAAUUAGGUCUGUUCGACCUUUAGAAUUUUACAUGAUCUGAGUUCAAACCGGUUUAAGCCAGGUUGGUUUCUAUCUCUAUUAAAUUAAAAUAUUUUAGUACGAAAGGAUCAAGUAUUUAAUUUAAAAUUUAAUUAUUGAAUAAAAUUAA
rnacentral:rRNA from 1 species